rnacentral:rRNA from 1 species
GUGGGGAAUAUUGGACAAUGGGCGAAAGCCUGAUCCAGCCAUGCCGCGUGUGUGAAGAAGGUCUUCGGAUUGUAAAGCACUUUAAGUUGGGAGGAAGGGCAGUAAGUUAAUACCUUGCUGUUUUGACGUUACCGACAGAAUAAGCACCGGCUAACUUCGUGCCAGCAGCCGCGGUAAUACGAAGGGUGCAAGCGUUAAUCGGAAUUACUGGGCGUAAAGCGCGCGUAGGUGGUUUUGUAAGUUGGAGGUGAAAUCCCCGGGCUCAACCUGGGAACUGCCUCCAAAACUGCAUGACUAGAGUACGGUAGAGUGUAGUGGAAUUUCCUGUGUAGCGGUGAAAUGCGUAGAUAUAGGAAGGAACACCAGUGGCGAAGGCGACUACCUGGACUGAUACUGACACUGAGGUGCGAAAGCGUGGGGAGCAAACAGGAUUAGAUACCCCGGUAGUCC